UAAAUGAAAACCAAAGAGAGGUAUCUAGCUGUUAAUUAGAAUAUUGUAUAAAAUUACUACUCAUUUAG
rnacentral:tRNA from 1 species